CGGAUUAGAGGAGAAUCUGUUUGCAUUUCAUUCUUAUUUGUCAUUUGUGCUGGUCGCGAUUUUAGUUUAUUUUUCUUUAUGUUGUGGUUUAUUUUUUCGUUUCUCGCAUAGUCUUCACUGUGAAUACGGCUACAAAUUCAAACGUUAAUAAAAAAAAAAAAAAAAAAAAAAUAGAAAGUUGAUCUUUGCAAAUUUUUGCAACUGUGAAAUACUGUUGAAAGUUAAAUAUAAAUCGUGUAAGCUGCUUCGGAGUCAGCGAACUGCAGCCGUAUCUCCGUUCCAUCGAGUGCACCGCCUACGUAACUGAACAUCACCAACAUAUCAAGCUUUGCUGUUUUGCUUUGAAAUCGCUGUUAACCACACCUCGAGUAGCUAAAGUACAUACCUGCCGCAUUUUUCAUCAUGGUCGACCGUCUGGUUAAUUCGGAGGCCAACUCCCGUCGUAUUGCAAUGGUUGAGAGCUGCUUUGGUAGCUCCGGAGUACCGUUAGCAAUACCAGGUCGCGUGCUAGUUGGCGAAGGUGUUCUCACGAAAAUGUGUCGCAAGCGUCCGAAGUCAAGACAAUUCUUCCUUUUCAAUGACAUCUUGGUCUACGGCAAUAUCGUAAUUGGAAAGAAGAAAUACAAUAAACAACACAUUAUGCCAUUGGAAGAGGUGUCACUAGAAUCGUUAGAAGAUAAUGGUCAAUAUCGAAAUGGUUGGCUCAUACGCACUACCACCAAAUCGUUUGUUGUUUUCGCAGCUACAAGCACUGAAAAACAGGAAUGGAUGGCGCACAUCAACAAGUGUGUAGAAGAUUUGUUGCGAAAGAGUGGCAAAAAGCCAGUAGAGAAUCAUGCUGCUGUUUGGGUACCCGACGCGGAAGCCACCCAUUGUAUGCAUUGUAAGAAAACCCAAUUCACGAUGAUCGUCCGUCGCCACCAUUGCCGUAAUUGCGGUGCUGUAGUGUGCGGGCCUUGUUCGUCUAAGAAAUUUCUAUUGCCUCAGCAAAGCUCUAAGCCAGUGCGUGUGUGUACUGCUUGUUAUGAUCGCCUCUCCAAGGUAGUCAAAAUAGAAUCAUCCAAAACGACAAUUGGAAAUACUGGUGGAAAUCAAGUGACAGCAUCUUCUACGCCCAUUGAAGGUAAUGGCGCUGGCGCCGUAGCAAAAUUAGCUGACAGCUCUGGUGAUGAUGAUUCGGAUGAAGAAGGUGCUGGCGCAGCAAACGAAACGCACGAUGAACCACGUUUUUACGGUGACACAACGUUGUCGGCUGAUGAGUCUACGGCAGCAUCCGCGGCGCUUAAUUCCGGCCACACACCCAGUGUUAACAAUUGAUGCGUGCAGUCAACGACGACGACGACGACGAUGGUGGGGGGCUUGUUGUUAGACGACGAAGGCGAAGGCGGACGGGGGGGUAUAUACCGUCAGGCUGUCACAAGUAGAGAUGGGUGUGACGUUAUGCAGCGAAACAAACAACAAAAACAAAAUCAUAAAAUUAAGCAACAGCAACAACAACAACAAACGGAACAAACCGAAAUAAAUCAGUCAGAACAGCAACAUGAUGGACGUAAAAAAAAGGUGUGGCAUUUUGUCUGGCAACGAAAAGGACUAGCGAAAAUAUUUCUCCUUCAAAAUGGAGGAAGAAGAACGUCAGAAACGUGAAGAAUUGCGCGUCAAAGAGUUGCGAAAACUCACAACAUUUAAAGCACGACCAAAUCCCUUUAAAUAGGCUCCCGUAAAAGUCCUCUAAGUCCACUAAUACAUGCAUGCAUACACCAAUACAUAAAAACGAUUUGAACGCCAGAGAAAAGAAAUAACAAAUAUCGAAGCAAAUACUUCGCAACUUAAAUGAAAAUCUAUUAUAAAGCAAGAAAUAUAAAUAUCAGCCAAGAAAUCGAAGCAUACUUAAAUAAAUAUCACUUUGAACAAUAAAAAAUAUUAAAUAUCAUUUUUAUAUCGAAAUGUAACAACGUUUUUAUUAUCAAUUAUUAUUAUGGUUAUUACUAUUAUUACUAUCAUUAUUUCUAACUUGUAAUAAUUUUUCGGAAUAUACAUACAUACAUAUAUAUAAUUACACACAAUUUAUAACAAAAUGUUGUCGUAAUAAAUAAUAACUAUUUAAAUACAAUUAAAAAAAA